CCGCCUUCGAGGCCGGCGCCCGCUGUCACAUCACAAUACGCGUGUGGCGCACCGAGGGCUGGCGCCGAAGCAGCGGCAGGGAGGCACCGGCCGCCCGCCCGCGCCUCCGGGGAAGUCUGGACGCCCCGCAGCGCCCGUGGUGCGGGCUUAGCCUGCCCGGCGGGUGUCUGGAGCGGGUCGUCGGUGUCAAAAAUUCCCUCGGGCCUUGAAAAGCUCAUUUAGGCAGGAGCUCCCUGCCAAUCCACCUGGAAAAGCAGCAGAAGAUGGUCCAAGUGUUUGGGCACCUGCACCCACAUGGGAUACCUGGAUGAAGCUCUUGACUACUGGCUUUGGUCUGACCCAGCCCCACCCAUUGCAGCCAUUUGGAGUGCUACCCAAAUUGCACAACUAGUCCCAAAGUCUGCUGGUUCACUCCCCCAAAUGGCCACAACAGCUGGAGCUACGCCAAUCCAAAGCCAGGAACCUGGAGCUGCUUCUGGGUCUGCCAUAUAGACCUUGAAGUUGGCUCAAGUCCCUCCCACGUCUCAACUCCAGUGGUUCGAUGCAGAACGUGGGCACCCAGAGAGAAGUCCCCUGAGAGACACAAGACAGCAGCCCCUUCCUGCCCAGUACCUGUUGCUCUGCUACAUCACAGAGACGCCAUGGGGCCCAGUAUGCCAGAGCCCAGGCUGGUUACAGCUCCUCAGUGGCCAUCUGCCGGGCCUGGCUCUUCGGCCCCACCUUGCUCAACACCUCGCUCUCUGAGGAGGGACCUGCACUCUCUGCUCUCAGAAGAGGAAGCCGGGCACCUGAUGUGCAAGCCCCCUGGGAGUCUCCCUCUCCUUACGCCGCCAAGGGACUGAGCACGUGCCUGGGGUCAGGGAGAUGUGCCCUGCACCUCCUAUCUCAUUUUUCCUUGUUUCUGCUCUCUCUGUGGCCAGGGUUUGGUGGGAAGCUCAUCCUGCCUCGCCAGGCUCCCGUGGGUCCUGCCCUGCCGCCUGCAUUCCAGCCACGGAGCCCCUCAGGCUUCCAGGCUUCCUCCCCCUCCCUGGUGGGCCUGGCCCACUUCUGGGCUGCUGAGGGUGGGCCCCACAGCACAAAGCAGUCAGGGAAGUCUGUGGAGCCCCCCUGGCUGAAGGGUCUUGGUUCUGUAGAGCAGCUUCAGGCAUAGCUCACAAAUCAGGGUCUCCCUGGUGGUGUGGAGGAAAGUUUGCACCCGCCUACCAGGGCACCAUUGAUCUUCCCACCAGGGGAUGUGAAAGCAACUGACACGCCAAGCAUCUGUUAGCCUUGGGCCCUGGGGUACCAAGGGGAGGGAGGUCUGGAAGCUGCCUCCCCUCAUCUCACCUGGAGAAGGCAGGUACCAGCAGCAGCCACCAAAGGGAGCACACAGAGUGCUGCCCUGUGCUGCAGCACUGUCCCAUUGCCAGCUCACUUGUCCUCCUAAUAGCCCUGCCAGGGCCCUGCGAGGCUUUGUUGUCCCAUUUCAUGGUGAGGACACUGAGGCUCCACAGCCUAUGGACUCUGGAGCCUGCGGAGAGGACUUGGGGACCCCCUGCCAUUGAGCUGUGACUUUCAGCCACCUCUUCUAGGAGCCAGGGGUGGUGGGUUAUGGGCCCAGCUGCUGGGGAUGGGUCCCAUGAUAGGAUGGUGGUCUGAGCUGCCCACCCCCCUCAGGACUCCAGUGCCCCAGGGGACAGCCUGGGAGAGGACUUGGGGACCCCCUGCCAUUGAGCUGUGACUUUCAGCCACCUCUUCUAGGAGCCAGGGGUGGUGGGUUAUGGGCCCAGCUGCUGGGGAUGGGUCCCAUGAUAGGAUGGUGGUCUGAGCUGCCCACCCCCCUCAGGACUCCAGUGCCCCAGGGGACAGCCUGGGAGAGGACUUGGGGACCCCCUGCCAUUGAGCUGUGACUUUCAGCCACCUCUUCUAGGAGCCAGGGGUGGUGGGUUAUGGGCCCAGCUGCUGGGGAUGGGUCCCAUGAUAGGAUGGUGGUCCUGAGCUGCCCACCCCCCUCAGGACUCCAGUGCCCCAGGGGACAGCCUGGGAGGGGACUUAGGGACCCCCUGCCAUUGAGCUGUGACUUUCAGCCACCUCUUCUAGGAGCCAGGGGUGGUGGGUUAUGGGCCCAGCUGCUGGGGAUGGGUCCCAUGAUAGGAUGGUGGUCCUGAGCUGCCCACCCCCCUCAGGACUCCAGUGCCUCAGGGGACAGCCUGGCCCAGAGCUAGGUGUGACCUGUGGCUCUGCUGCAUGAAAUAGGAGCUCCUCUGGGGGUCUCAGCUGAUUUCUCAGCAGGGUGUUGCCUUUGCUGACUUCUAGGAAUCUGUUGGGUAGGAAUCAGUUCCCACAGGGCUCCAUCCCAGCCUAUGUGCCCCAGACAGGGCAGGAAGACAUCUCUGAGCUGGCAUGGUGCAGCCCUGUGGCCAGGACACCCAGGAGGUGGCUCCUGUGCCCAAUAUCUGUCCAAGCCACUGUGAGGACCAGGGUGUAAGAGCAGGGAAGCGGGGCUCCAGGGCCAUCACUGCCACUGUGUCCUCUGGUCCAAGCAGAGCCAUCCCUAUGCCUAGGAAACAAGGGCAGAGAUGGAGAGGCAUCUCCCCUUCCCCUCAUGCCAGCCCUGCUCCCAUCCUGGGAAAGGGGCUCCCUUCUGCUGGCCACGUUUCCUUCCUGGGGGUGGGUGGCAGCCAGGGCCGUGACCCCCUGCUGUUAUUCUCCGUCCCCUGCUCUGCCUCCUAGGCUCCACCCCCAUGCCAUCUGUCUCCCUCCUGCUCCUUAUGUUUGCAGUUGUUUUUCUCUGUGAGUGAGUUAACAGGGAAAAAUAACAGUAACAUAAAAACACCUCCCAGGCAGCCCAGGAGGGGACCAUCCAAGGCCUUUAUGGGGCCAUAGAUGGGACUGCUGGCAGCUGCGGCCCCACUGGCCCCUUCUGCCCCUCCCCAAGCUCUAGCUUCCGGUCUGGCCCUGUGAGCUUCAGGGGAGUUUAUGGAUGGAGCUCCAUCUCCUGGCCUGUCUGAGGUUGACUCUGCAUUGUAGGGGUAGAGCAGCCUCAGUGCCCAGGAGGCUAUAGGGUCCAGCUCAGAUCUCACCAGGGUCAUCACCUGGGAGCUGGUCCCUUCCACGCAGCGCCCUCUGGAGGCUGGAAGGGAUAAGCAGGCUCCAGGCUCCCCAGAGUCAACUGGCUCUCCCCAUCCCGGGGUUCAGGAGAGGUGAGGCUGCACCUCCUGCAGAGCAGCCCCACUGUCCCCCUGAGGAGCAUGGGGGACAGGGCCCUCUCCCCACCCAGGCUCCAGGACACUGGGAGCCCCUGUGGAUGGGGUUGCUCCGUGCCUUCCUACUCGGCCUGAUCCUCCCACCGUUUAGUUCCCGAAUCGGCUUACCAAGGAGUUCCAUUCUCAGAGAUGUGUGAUUGUGGGGCCUCACGUCCCCACCUCUCUUUUCGGCACGUUGGAGGCUCCUGCCUCACACUCACCAAAGGCUGACCUCAGCAUUCCUCCCCCAGAGAGCACCCUGGGGCCCCAGAGAUAAGAGAUGCAGCUCAGACAGGAGCCAGGCAUAGGAUAGUCCAAAACUGAGCCAGGGGUGAACCUCUGAAGGGUCUUGGGCCUUCCAGACCCAUAGGGGAGCUGCUGAGGAGCAAGCCCACCCCUGUGGGUGUUGGCCCUGGGUACUUUAGAUGAGCAGUGGGGCCCGACUCUCUUCUGUGUGGUACUGGGGGUAUGGGGGAAGGAGCUGGGGGAGUCUGGGAGCUCCCAGGCCUGGGAUGCUGCUGGAGCCCAAGCCAGGGACUCCUCAACGAGGGUUGAGGGGUCCUUGGACUUCUUCCCUGUUGGAGCUUCCAGGCCAUGUUCCCCUGAGCCAGCACCUCCUUUCCCAGGGCAAGGGAGCACUUGUGGUUCAAAUAGAGCAGGAUCAGCUGGGGGGAGCUGAACACACCCACAACAUUGCCCAUUGCCCGAGCCAUAAGGGUGAGCCGUCCUGAUCACCAAAGGAGGUGGGUGCUUGGCUACCUAGAGGGACCAUAGAGAUGCCUCUGAUGUCCUGGGCUCUCCCAACCCUGCUCGCACAUCCUUUGUGCCCUGUCCCAGGCUCAGGGCAUAGAGGUGCUGGCUUUGGGAAGGAGCAACAGAGGGAGAGUGAUAGCACCCAGCCUGACCAAGACUGGACAGAGGGGACCACAAACCCUCUCAUGAACACUUUGCAGACUGUCCUGAGCUAUCCCAAUAUCACUGCCCUGUCCUGGCUCCUGGAGAGGGGGAGGGCACGGGUGUAUCUUGGGAAUUUCUUGGUUAGUUUUGGCCCUGGCCUCUGGCUGAGGUUGGACACCACAAUGCCUAUGAUCUUGCAGGAGGGACAUCAGGAACCACACGUGUUCUAAACCAAAUAUUCUAUUAGACUUUAACCAGCAAGAAGAGCUGAAAUCCCCCCAGUUCUCUUGCUGGGGUUGGGGUUGGGGUUGGGGGGAUCAGUCAUGGCAUCCUAAAGCCCUAGAAGCAUUCUCAGGCCACUGAUCUGGUCUUUUGGUUCAUGUCCAGGCCCCAGGGAGCCAGGCUGUGCUUCCAGAUGGGAGCCUGGGACCAGGUCUAAGCCCUGGGCAAGCCAGGAUCACUUGGUGUGCUCAUUCCUCACCCACACAGAGGCCGGUUUGGGCACCUCGGGCACAAGGAGCUGUAUGCCUAAGAAGAGCCCAUUCCAGCAGGGAGGCUGCCUUGUGGAGGUUCAGCCUUCCCUCCCCAGCCUCUCCACAUGCAGUUGCCUAUGGAGGACGUGGGCGGCUUCUGGAAAGGUCACUCGGCCCUUUCCUGGCUCCUGCAGGCCUCUGCGGUCAUUAUCCCCUGAGGGACCGUAGGAAUUACAGCCCAGGGAGUUGCUCUUGAGCCCGGGCACUGGGGCUACAGCAGACUGCAUGGGGCCCAGGUCCAGGGGUGCUGGGACAACCUGGAAUGGGAACAGAGUCCCUGAUGGAUUUUGCCCUCUGGAAGCCAGCAGUCUGUAGGCACCAGGUGCACCACAAGAUUGUAGUGGGAAGUCCAUCUUGAGUAGCAUCACCCAUCCCCUGAGCUGUCCUCGCUGGGAGAGAGGAAGACGGGACUGGGAAAGCCUGAGGUGAGGUCCCAGAGAGUCCAGCGUGGGGGAGCUCUGGGGGAGGCCCCUGAUGACUCUACUUCAUCCUCUUCUAUGACAGGUGCCACAGUGGUGAGUGAGCUCCACAGGACCUGUCACUUGAGGGAGAAGUGCUUUAGUGGGACCACGGGGCCAGGUUCAGAAGAGCCCCCUGUUGGCUUUCACCAUCUGGGAGCCAACAGUCUUCAGCUUCCAGAAGCAACACGGGGAUAGACAUGAAGGCCCACUGGGGUAAGCCCUGCAGUGGGCUGGACCCAGAGACCAUGAGUCCCCCUACUCUUCUUCCUCCCACAGAGUCUCAAUGAAGGCCGUUUUUGGAUUUCCAGUCACUGGUGGGUGGGGUGCUAAUGUCAGGGGAUACGCUUGUAAGUCAGAACUGGGAGGCCCACCCUGUCCUCUCGGAAGGUCAUCUUGCUACCUCUGAGGUUUGGGGAAGGCCUAGGCUGCAGGGAGAUGAGCUCCAGGCCUAGGAGCCUGCUGCACAGUUCCUCUGGUCUCGCUGGGAGGAAAGCAGACUUGAUUUGCCUCUCCACAUAUCUCAUGUGGCCCACAGGGCAGGCCCCUUGGAUGUGGAUCCCUGGGGUCCUCCAGGUUCGUGCCUGGUCCCCAGCCUGUGAUCCAGAGGGAGGGCUGUGUGCAUCCUCAGCAGUAGGAGCUGCUCCUGGGUGGCACCUUGUGGGCUGCGUUGGCUCCAGGUCUUUCUCUCUCAUGUCAGAGGCUAGAGGAUUUCACUACCCAUUUCCUAUCCAACUGUAACCUAAUACACGGGUUGCUGAGGUCUGAAUGUCCAUGUACAUCCAAGUCAAUAUGUGAAACUUGAAGUUUAACACGGGUGGAAUUCAGAGGUAGGAUCUUGGGGUAGAGAUGAAGAGGUGGGCAGGGAGCACCCUGGGACCUUUUCGCCCCUGUACCUUCUGCCAUGUGGAGGCCCCGGGCCUCAGACCCUCAUCAGGCACCCAAUGUGCUGCUGUCUUCAUCCUACAUUUGCAGCCUCCAGGAUUGUCAGCAAUCAAUUUCUGUUCUUUAUGAACAGUGUUGAAUAGUCUGUGAUCACCUCGGGAAUGGACUCUGACAGAGUCCAGUGAGGGAGGGGCCCCCAACUCAAGGGCCCCUCUGCCUUCAGGCCACCCAACCCCCGGCCAGGAUUGUACCCUUUCCAGGCUCAGCUCAGCUCUGGAGCUCUGCCCCUGAGCCUGCGGGGCCACGCUCUGCUCUCCCACCCACAGGUGCGCUCAGGCACCUGUGCUUCCCAGGUGACCUUUAGGAGACAGACAGGAAGGCAUAGCUGAGGGGCUCAGUGAGCUCUCACCACUGCCCCACCCUGCCUCUGUGGCCUCCCCUCACCCCAGGGAGGCUCCAAGUGUGCACCGGGACCCUGGGCCCAGUGAAGCCCUCCAGGGAGGGCCAAGCCUCCAGAGCUCAAGAGAGCCAAGGAUUCAGGCCUGACCUCCUGACCAGAACCCAGCUCCCAGCCCUGAGACCAGGGCGCUGAUGGGAAAACCUUCAAGGGGGCUGUCCAGGAAUCCAGUGUGUCCUGAGGCCCCCAGGCCAGGUUUUCCAAAGCUUAGAGCAGAAGUGGAGGAAGAAGGCAAAAGGCAGGGCAGGGCUGCUGCUGCCUGAGCACUUCCACCCCUGACGCAUCCAGGAGGCAGAAGGCACUUCUGCAGCUGUCUUGGAUCCCUGGAAUGGCCGUAGUACUGGUGUCAUCAUCCGAGGCUCAGGCCUGACGCAGCCUCUCCUGUAGGUAUUGGGAGAGCCUGUCCCCAGGGCAGCGGCAGGAGGAGCUCUAGACACAGUGGGGAGCCUCAGGCCAGGGAGGCCCAGGCAGAAGGGGUGGCACCCACAGCCUGCUCCACCCUACCUCUCCUGCUGGAUGCUGCCAGGGCCACUCUUGGGUUAAGGCCUACAUAGGAAGCCAUGGCCCAGGGGAGGCUGGACCAGGAAAGGGCCCCACCCACUCCUGUCCAAGAUUGAUGGUAAGUUGGGAGGGUUCCAAGAGGCCCCCACUGCCUUGCUCAGUCCAGCACACUGGGCCUGCCCCUGCCUGUUUCCUCCAUGCCCUGCUCUUUCAGGCCAAGUGGUGACUUCUCCCCCCACCCCCACCCCACUCCAUCCCUACCACCCCGGGGUGGCCCCAGAGGACUUCUGUGAAUUUUGAGGACUAUGUAGGAUGUGACUGUGCAGAGGCUGUCCUUCCAAGAUGUACAUAUCCCACAGUCUCAGAAAGGAAGGGGUCCGGAGAGGAGAGCAGAGUGGGAGGACCAGGCCUGAGCAGAGUUCCAGAGUUCCAGGGCCCCUGGUACAGGGAGAGACCCCAGUGAGGCUGCAUCCGACAUGGCCCUGCAGCUCCUGGUGGCAAGGGACUCAUCUCAGCAUGCAGAGCCACUUCCAGUUUUAGUAUGUGCUGCCAUAGUGAGCACGUGGUGCCACUUCUGAGGGGGCUCUCGUCUCUGGCCGUUUCGGGGCCCUUAGGGCCCAGAGAGAAGGUGACAAGGAGGCCUGCCUAGCACAGCCACUAGCCUGGGAGCCUCAGAGGCUGCUCUGUGCUCUGCGAGAAGCACCAAGGCACCAGCUGCAGCAUGGCCAGGGGUCAGUCCUCAGCCUGGGGCUGACAGUGGCCUGGUAUCCAGGAGCAAGGCAGAGCGGCUCAGCUCCAGGCUGCUGUGGCCACCUCAGGGGCUUGUGGAGUCCCUUCUUCCACCCAGAGUGGGGCUUGAUCAGGUCCUCCUGUGAUGCUGAACCUGAGACUUGCCCUCUGGCGUGGGGAUGUCGCCUCUGUGUCAGGGCCUUGCUAGUCUGCCCAGCAGGGACCCUUGUGUGGCUGCUAGGUGUGGGGGGUACCCGCAAGCCCUUCAGGAGGGAAAUGUGACACUGAGCCAGCAGAGCACAUGCUAGUGGCCAAGAGCUUCCCAGGUCACAGGGUCUCCUUGUGUACCCUUACCCUGUCAAUGCAACUGUGGUCAAACCGUUUCUGAGUGAAGGUCUUGGCAGACACUCUCCAUCUACCGGAAUGUCAGAGGGGCUCAAGACUCAUGGUUGGCCAACCUCCCUAUUCUGGACCCCUCUACAGAGCCUCCCGUCAAUAGCAGAAUGCCCAGUGGCUGGGAUAUAGCGUCCAUGUGCUUUACACCUGAACACCACCUGGAAGAUUGUGUCCUGGUACCUGUGGCCUCAUCCAGGGAAGGAAAAGGAAACCAAACCCCUGAGUCUUCUGCAAAGCAUACAGCCCAAGAAAGUCCCCGGCCAGGCCACUUGGUUUCUCAUCAACCCAGAAAAGGCUUGGUCCCCACCCCCCACCCCCAACUCAGGGGACCCAGAGCCCAUGGGGAGUGCGCAGAGGGAUACUUUUACAUACCAGGUGCUCCUUUAAUUUGGGCUUUGCAUGGCUAGUGAUAUUGUUGUUGUGGUUUUGCAGUGACUUCAGCUGGGGGAAACCAGGCUUAUAGAAUCCUGAAAAGCCCCCAGUCCUUCCCCCAUCAAAUCAGAGCCUGACCGUAGGGAGGUGGGGCCAUCAAACACCUGGUAUAGGGGGCUCCUGAGCACUCAGGGACAGGGGCGGUUCUGGCAGGGUCAGCUAAGGGCAGAGGAGUAGGGGAGGAAGGUGGGUGGAGGUAGUAGGCCCUUGGAGCUUAAUCGGGGCUGACUGGGGGAACUCCAGUGGGAGCUGCAGAGAACAUAGUCAUUGCUUGGGUUCAAGAGUGAGGCUCAGUGAACCAGGAUGGGCCAUCCUAUGGCUUUGGAGAGGACAGAUGGGAGAUCCAGAAGGGCCACCAGGGGCAUAAGUAUCACCUGGACAGAGAAGGGACUGAGGGCUGGACACACAGCACAGGGAAGGCUACAGAUGGGAAAACAAAGGGUCUGACUUGGUGUGCAGGUGCCCUCUGCCAGCCCUGACUCCUGUAGGAUCCUCCAAAUGGGCCCUCUCCUGGACACUGAGGUGGUAGUGGAGGCAUAUUCACCUGGGCAGUGUGUCCACCCGCCCCACUCUCAGCCUGACUGUGUGAGGCCACCUACCUAGCAUCAUGUCACAUGCCUGUGGUUUGUCAUCAGCUGAACCGGGGCCCAGAAUACCACUUCCACAUUCAGGAACGUGAGGAGCUAGCCAACACCCAGUUCAUGCCCUGCCUGUAGCCCACCUCCUGCAAGAGCCAGUGACGUCAUGGAAGGGCAUCACCUGGCAGAGCUGCUCUCCCUGGGAUGCUGACCCCACCUGCGAGCGCUGACCUCACUUGGGAGGCAUCACUUCCUGUUCUCACAAUGUGUGGUCAGCUCUAAGGAGAGCCUUGUGCCGGGCCCCACCCCUCUGUGGUUCCGUCCACAUCAGUCAGGCCUCACCGUGGACUUGGAUCUCUGUGACCUGGUCAGCUGGCCCUCCUGGGAACAGGGCCUGGAACAGCACCGUGGAUUACUCACGUUGUCAGAUGCAGAGAAUGCCAGGAGCAUGUGAAACAGUGCCUGCGGCCUGCGAAAGAGGAGAGAGAGGACUGUUCUGCUCCCUUGCUGCCCGCCGAGCCUGCUUGGUUUUGUCUGACCGAUCCUGCCGGCAACACUGAGCACUGACUCAAGUUCUCUGUCAAGAGCAGUUGGGUCUCGGAGCAGCUGGGUGUUCCUACAGUUUUCUGGUCAAAUCUGCCUCUGAUGACAAGGGUCACCUGGGGGUAGCUCAUGCCUUCCCGUUUUCAGUCCAGUGGGUGUUUUUGAGGUUUGCGCACAGGGACAUGUGCUCUGUGGGAGGCUCAGUCCAGGCCUUUGGCCCAUGUGGAGUCUCCCAGCCCCAGCCCAGCAGCUCCAGGAGCAGCUCCUUCCUCCUUGUGUCCCCUCAGGAGUCACACUCUCCCACUCCCCCAGAGCCCCUGGUAACCAUUGCUUUCUCUUCUGUCCCCAUGGCUUGGCUUUUCCCAGAAUGCCCUAUGACUGGAGUCCCAGCAUGGCGGCUUUCGGGUCUGGCUUUUCCCAGAAUGCCCUAUGACUGAAGUCCCAGCAUGGCGGCUUUCGGGUCUGGCUUCUUCCACGGUGUACUUCAGUGGCGUCUUCCUCCUUCUCACCCACUCCUGUUUCAAUUCUCCUGCUGAACUCAUUGAGGUCACUUCAAGUUUGUACUGACUAUGGAUAAAACAGGAACCUUGCCUGCAGGAUUUUUGUGGAGUUAAAGCUGGUUGGGUGAAUAGCUAUGUACACAGUUUGGGGUCAGAUGGUGGGUGGAGAAGAAACAGCCACACUGUCUUGCAAAGUGGCCGUCCCAUUCUGUGUUCCUGCGUAGCCGUGAGUGAGAAUUACCACAGCCCCUCAUUGUUAGCCAUAGAGUUGUCAGUGUUUUGGGUUUAGCCACUCAGAAAGGUGAUCCUACCACUUUUCAAGUGUGUAUUUGAUGAAGCAUCUAUUCUUUUAAAAAAAUAUAUGAGAGAGAGAGAGAGAUCUUCCAUCUGCUGUUUCACUCUCCAAGGCUACAUCAAGCUGAAGCCAGGAGCUUCACCCAGGUCCCCCACAGGGGUGUAGGGGCCCAAGGACUUGGGCCAUCUUCUGCUGCUUUUCCCAGGCCAUUAACAAGGAGCUGGAUUGGAAGUGGAGCAGCCAGGAACACAAACCAGUCCCAUGUGGGAUGCCAGCACUGCAGGUGACUUUACUCACAACACCACAGCACUAGCCCCAAAGUGUAUGUUCUUUGAUGAAGUCCCUUCAGAUAUGGUGUCCAGUUAUGUGGUGGACAGUCAAAGAUGUUCUUGAGGCUUAAGAAUUCUUUGUAUAUUCUGGAUGUGAAUCCUUUUGUUAGAUGUGAAUUUUGCAAAUACUGUCUUCCAUUCUGUAGCUUUUGAUUUCAUACUCUUCACAAUGUCUUUUAUAGAGUAAAUGUGUUUGAUUUCAAUUAAAUUCCUCUGACCAAUUGUUUAUUUUACUCAUGGACUGUGCUUUUGGUCUUCCUCUAAAAGCUCGUCACCAAAUCAAAGCAGAUAAUCUGUUUUCUUCUAGGUUUAUGAAUUCAGAGUUACUGUUAGAUUUGUAAAUUAAAUUAGUUUUACAGGGGCCGGCGCCGCAGCUCACUUGGCUAAUCCUCCACCUGCAGCGCCGGCACCCCGGGUUCUACCCAGUUGGGGUGCUGGAUUCUGUCCCGGUUGUUCCUCUUCCAGUCCAGCUCUCUGCUGUGGCCCGUACCCGCAUGGGAGACCAGGGAGAGGCACCUGGCUCCUGGUUUUGGAUCAGUGCAGUUUGCCAGCUGUAGUGGCCAUUUGGGGGGUGAAGCAACGGAAGGAAGACCUUUCUCUCUGUCUCUCUCACUGUCUGACUCUGCCUGUCAAAAAAAUAAAAACAAAAUAAUAAUAAUAAAAUUUAAAAAUUAGUUUUACAUAAGGUAAUUUAGGUUUUGUUUUUUGGAAACUCUGAGAUUUUUGCAAUCAUGUCAUCUGUGAAUAAAGACAGUUUUGUUCUUCCUUUCAGAACUGUCCACAUUUUAUCUUUCUCUGUUCUUGUUCCCUAGGUGGAACUUGUAGUACAAUGUGGGGAGGGAACAUUCACCUUUCACUCCAGAUUUAGGAGAAAGCGUUCAGUCUCAGCACAAAGAAGCAGUGGUCUUGUGCAAUUAGAAGUCGUAAGUCCUUAGUGUUCACGCCAUUUGGGACAUUGGUCCCAACCACACCACGGAAACUGUUGUGGAGUUUCAAGUCAAAUUCCUAGAGCAGCUGUGGAGGCAGCCUAGGAGCCCUGACCUGGGGGACUUGGAAGGAGCCAGAAAAGGCACAGACCCCAGGGCCCAGACCUUCUGACCAGGUGAGUGCCAGCGGCCUGGCCUGGUGACUACAGAAUACCUGGACCUCAGGUCAGACAUCCCGGGGACUCCAGUUGGGUCCCAGCAAUGAGGUGAUGUCCUCCUGGCCAGUGGACAAGGACCUCUGGUAUGCAGCUUUGACCUGGCACAGGUGGGUUUCUUAAAACUGUUGGGGUGAGCGCUGUGGCACAGCAGAUUAAAGCUCUGGCCUAAAGCACAGGCAUCCCAUAUGGGCACCGGUUCUAGUCCAGGCUGUUCCUCUUCAGAUCCAGCUUUCUGCUAUGGCUUUGGAAGGCAGUGGAAGAUGGCCCAGGCCUUUGAGCCCCUGUACCCACAUGAGGACCUGGAGGACGCUCCUGGCUCCUGGCUUCAGAUUGGCGCAGCUCUGGCCCUUGUGGACAUCUAGGGAGUGAACAAGUGGAUAGAAGACCUCUCUCUCUGUCUCUACCUCUCUCUGUAAUUCUGUCUUUCAAAUAAAUAAGGUAAAUUUUAAUAAAAAAAAAAAAACUCUUACAGAAAGCUGGAUGGGGAAGUUCCCUUAGUUCACAUGGGCACCAGAGGUUGAGUGGAGGAUCAGAAGUUUAUUAACAUCGAAGGGCUCGGUAAAAUUGCUUCCCAAGACUGAGCAUCCAAUCUAGGGUUCUUAGAAUAUUUACAGGUUCAUCAGCACCAAGCCUCACCCUUCACAGCAUUGGUGGGUUGGGUUGCAGCCUGCCUGAUUCAGGACCACCCAUGAGGAACUUGAGACCACAUUUAUGGGGAACUUGAACAGGGGGUUUACAGAGAACUGAAAUCAGGACACCUGCCCAGACACACAGACACCUAUGAGGAACAGAGAUUGUGGCAUCUGCCCAGACACAUCAACACCUAUGGGGAACUGGAAUAGGGAUUUCAGAAAACAGAGAUUAGGAUAUCUGCCCUCCUUAGGAGUCUGAUUUUUCUCCCUUGUCUCUGGACCCAGCCUAAUUUCCUCUUCAUUUCCCCCUUUGGUGCCCUCUUAAUCAUUCUAGGAGGCACGAUUUUUAUUUUAUUUAUUUAUUUUUAAUUAAUUGGUUGGUAGCUUUGGAAGAGCAUCUGGAACUUUAUGGCAGAGACAAAUUGGGGUAACACGUUAAUGAGGCAGGGACAAAAAAGAAGUGCUAGAAAAAUCAUGAGGAGAGGUCUGGACAGCAAGAGGAGCCAGGAUGCCCAGCUCCAUAUAUUGCCCCCAAAGCUCUAAAAAUUAGCUAUUUGUGUGUGUGUGUGUGAUCUUUUCAUUAAGCUGUUGGACCAUAUCUCUGACCACUCCUGAUCUGUUGACAUAAAAACAGCACUGUUUGUUUCAGAAAAAGGCAAACUCCGCCCUUUCUGCAGUUAGUAGGUCAAGUCUCCUCCCCCUGUUUUGCAGGACCACUGCUGCUAAGGCGUGUAAUUGAUCUUGGAGGACCAUUAAUGACUUAGCAACUUGUUCUGUAUCAUACUCUAGCUGUUCUUACCAGGCCAACUAUUAAGGGUAUGACCUGGAAGGCUCUUUUUUACUCAGACUUGCUUGGCUACCAGUAUAGGAAGAGUUUGGUUACAGGGGACAACGUAUAUUUGGUGAAUGAGAAAAGCCAAAGUUUGCACUGGCCGUUUGCUAACUCACUUAUUGGCUUUUGUCCCUACUUUAUUGGUAAUGCACUCAGAAGCAUUCUGGAUAAAACACAGACUACUAUAAGAAACAGAAAAGCUCCUCUGGACACACCCAUUACUAUUAUAUAAAACAUGGCUAGAGCAACCCUUUGUGACCGGUUCCCAUUUUUUGAGGCCACCUCAGCUAAACCUAUGGAAAGCAGCAAGGUCAAUAUUAUCAUAGCCCCAACGGGAUAGGGCAGCAUCAUAACCCUAGGUCUCAAGUGUCGCUUGUUGAGAUCCAGGCUUCUGCCGUGCAUUGAUCAGUUGGCUCCCAGGUUUGUGACUGGAGCAGGGCUGCAGGUUUCCCAAGCUUCAGCAGUGCAUAAAUCAAGCAGCCUCCAGUGUGGUCAAAGCAGGAGUGUCAUCCUCUGGAAUUCUUUUGGAAGCCUCACCCUGGGAGGCCUCCUGGGGUAUGGCUCCUUUGUCCUGGAUGUUCAGCUUGUGCAGUGUUGUCAGAUCAGAGUAAACACAGCUCUUUUGUAUCUUUAGAGCCGAGAACUCUAACUCUGAUGCAAUCCCAUAGUUCCAGGGGGUUUGCAGGUAACCAGGUACCUGGAAAUUUAGAAGUAACAGCCAAAGCCUAGGAACAGAUGUGACUGGUGUGAAAAUUUACAACCUGGGCCUCCCUUUUUACUUCUUUAAACAAAAUAGUCAAUAAUCAGACCUUACACUGAGGUCAUUGACCACAGAUUAUAGCAGCACAGCAGAAACCUAGUGUAAGUGAGGACAGAGUGUGAAUCUCUAGGCUGGCCUGAGAGGAAAGCUGGCCUCAACAGGAGAUUAGUAUAGAGCAGGAAGCAUCUCUAGCAGGAAACUUAACAGUCCUGCCUGUAAUGUUAAAGACCAUAGGCCAUCCCCUUAAUAGCAGUGGUUACUUUGGAAGCUGGGUGUGUUAGGCAGGAAGUCAGAAAUUGAGCCUAUAUGUGUGUGUAGAGACAGGCCUGAAGACCAGCACCUACUGCAGAAGCCCAGCAUCUUGCACUUCAAAGUCCUGCCCAGACCCUGAUAACCUCCCAGGUGGUCCCAGCCCUUCCCCCAGGGAAAACUCCCAGAAGAAUUCUCCCUUCUCAGGACCAAAUGGAUUACCUGACCUGAUAACAUGAGACAAUAAAACCUUCUCAGAUGCCCUAAGGGAAGCCCUUGUACUCUGCUGGCACCAGAAAAUCUGGGGAGGAAUUUGCUACUUUUCACCCAACCUUUCUGCUAGGACUCUCAACCCUUUUUCCUGCAGGAGAAGGGGAAGUGAGUAAACAGACUCCCUUAAAAACCUAGGGAAUCCAGACAGACUGGAUGCUCAGCCCUCUGCCUCUCAGCUGAGUCGCCAGCCUGGCCUGCCCAGGUGUAUUCUCUCCAUUCAACCGUGUAACCUCACUCAGGGAACCUCCGAGUGACUAGGCGCUCCUUCUCUCUGUCCCUUCCGUUCUGACUGAUGCCCUAUCCCCAAAAAAGCCCUGUCACUCUGCUCUUUUUCUUACACCUGAAUUCUUUCUUGGUGAAGACAAGAACCCCACGGCUUCCACGGCCUUUCUUGUGAUAUUUCAAACCAAAGCACAAACAUACCAAUGACUUUUAAA